rnacentral:lncRNA from 1 species
AAAGAAUGAAUCUGAACUGUGCAUCGCGUUUAAUUGCGACCAUUUGAUCGUGCUUGAGGAGGGAACGAAUCCGGGCUGUCCAAUCGCGGGCAUGCGGAUUGCCAGCGUGGCCUCCCGCGUGGCACUGAGUCAGGUUCCUUACCACACGGUGUGCUCCUGUUCGUCGGGGUUGCUAACUGGGCGGUCCUAUGGCGCAAUUUUUGUAAUUACAUUUUGACCACUAAUUU